CACGUAGGGCGCAAGCGUUGUCCGGAAUUAUUGGGCGUAAAGAGCUCGUAGGCGGUUUGUCGCGUCUGCUGUGAAAACUCGGGGCUUAACUGUGGGCGUGCGGUCGAUACGGGCAUCACUGGAGUUCGGCAGGGGAGACUGGAAUUCCUGGUGUAGCGGUGAAAUGCGCAGAUAUCAGGAGGAACACCGGUGGCGAAGGCGGGUCUCUGGUCGG
rnacentral:rRNA from 1 species